AAUAUAAUUAAUUAUUAUUUAUAAAAAUUUAUUUUAAAUUAAUAUUAGAAUAUUAUGUUUUAUUAUUAUUAUGAAAAAAUUUUAUUUAUUAUAGAUUAAUAGUAUUUUAAAAGAAUUUAUUUAAAUAUAAAAAGAAAAAUUUAUUUUUUGUACCUUGUGUAUCAGGGUUAAUUAAUUAAUUAUUAAAUAUUUAAUUUUCUCGAAUUAAUAAGAGCUAAUUUAUUAUAUUUAUUAUUGUAGAAUAAAUAUAUUUAAUAUUAAAUUAGAAAUGAAACGUUAUUCGUUUAUUAAUAUAUCUAGUUUUUUAAGAAAAGAAUUUAAUUCUAAUUUUAUAAAUAUAAUUUUUAUUUUAUAAUAUUAUAUUAAUAAAAUUAAAUAUUUUUAGGGAUGAGCUUAAAAAUAUAAAUUUAUAAAUUUAUAGAAAUUAUUAAAUAUGUAGAAUUAAUAAUAUUUUUCAUUAAAUUUUUGUUAUAAUUUAUUUAAUUUUAAAUAUAAUUUUUAUUUAUUUUGAAUUUUUUAUUAAAAUAUUAAUUUUAAUUUUUUUUAUUAAGAAAUAAUGAUUAAAUUAGUAAAAUUUAUUUUUAUUUAAUAAAAAUUAUUUAAGAUUAUAUUAAGUAAUUCGGCAAAUAUAAUUUUCACCUGUUUAAUAAAAACAUGUCCUAUUGAAAAAAAUUUUAGGUUUAACCUGCCCAUUGAAUUUUAUUUAAAAGGCCGCGGUAUUUUGACCGUGCAAAGGUAGCAUAAUCAUUAGUUUUUUAAUUGAAAGCUGGAAUGAAAGGUUGGAUGAAAAAUUAACUGUCUCAAUAUAAAUAAUUGAAUUUUAUUUUUAAGUUAAAAAGCUUAAAUAUUUUUAAAAGACGAGAAGACCCUAUAGAGUUUAAUAAUAAUAAUUUGUUUAAUUUUUUAGAAUUAAUAAAUUAAUUUUAUUAUUUUAUUUGAUUGGGGUGAUUAAAAAAUUUAAAUAACUUUUUUUUAUUAAUAACAAUAAUAUUUGAAUAUUUGAUCCAAAAUUUUUGAUUAUAAGAAUAAAUUACCUUAGGGAUAACAGCGUAAUUUUUUUUGAGAGUUCAUAUUAAUAAAAAAGAUUGCGACCUCGAUGUUGGAUUAAAAUUUAUUUUUGGUGUAGAAGCUAAAAAAUUAAGUCUGUUCGACUUUUAAAAUUUUACAUGAUCUGAGUUUAAACCGGUGUGAGCCAGGUUGGUUUCUAUCUUUAAAUUAGUUAAUAUAUUUUAGUACGAAAGGACCAUUUAUAUAAUUAAAAAUUUUCUAUAGAAUAAAAUU
rnacentral:rRNA from 1 species